rnacentral:other from 1 species
CCUAACCUGAAAUGUUCGAUAAUUCUUGAUGUUUUGAACCUACAUUACUUUAAACGGAAUUCCUACAUCGUCAUACGGAUGUCAUGCCUCAUUUUCAGUGGACGGCAGAAGUAUGAUUGCGGUUAUCCACCUGGCGUCAGCUAGGAGUCAAAAUUCAAGAACCGGCAUUUCGGGGUCAGU